UGGGGAAUAUUGGACAAUGGGCGCAAGCCUGAUCCAGCCAUGCCGCGUGAGUGAUGAAGGCCUUAGGGUUGUAAAGCUCUUUUGUCCGGGAAGAUAAUGACGGUACCGGAAGAAUAAGCCCCGGCUAACUACGUG
rnacentral:rRNA from 1 species